rnacentral:lncRNA from 1 species
GUUUAUUUUGCUUUCAUUUUUUUGUAAUAAUUUCCCUGGAUAUGAGAUUCUCCCUGGACAUUUGUUUUCUCUCUUUCAGCACUUAGUACAUGCUGUUCUCCUGGCUUGCUGGCAUCCAUUGCUUCUGAUGAGAAUUCAGCUCUUCUAUUUACUGAGGUUUCUUGUACCUCAUUUAAGACUGGAUGCCUUAUCAUAUCUAAUCUUCUAAGAUUCCUCCUGGCUGUGACACUUUCUCAGACCUCAACAUGACUUAUCACUGUUGACGCUGACCUUGAUCACCUGGCUGAAAUGGCAUUUGUCAGAUUUCUCCACUGUGAAGUGACAUUUUCAUUUCCUUUCCAUGGUAUAUCCUUUGGAAGGAAGUGACUGU